AUGGAAAACUGUUGCAAUGCUUUGGGUCAAAGGAUAAAUCUUGCAAAAUCCUCGGUUUUCUUCAGUAAGGGUUGCCCAUCCUUUAAAACUGAGGUAAAGAAUGCUUUGAAUAUUGCAAAUGAGUCCCUCUCUGAUAGAUAUCUAGGAAUGCCUUCUGAUGUGGGAAAUUGCAAGAAUGGUGCUUUCAAGUUUCUAAAGGACUGUGUACGGAACAAGGUCAAGGGUUGGAUGGAAAAACUUUUGUUAGCGGGAGAAAAGGAAGUUCUCAUAAAAUCAGUGGCAUAG
rnacentral:rRNA from 1 species